AAAGCGCUCUUAAAGUGGGGGGUUACGAAAGCGCUUUUAAAGAGAAAGCGCUGGUAUAGAGUGGCCUAUGAAAGCGCUUCUGAAAAGCGCUCUUGUAGCCCUCAUUAAAAUAAAAUUAAUUAACUAACAGAAUAAAAAUAGGGUUUGUGUUGGUCAAAACACGUUCUUUUCUUCUCCUCAACACAAGAACGACGCCCUUCAUCUUCAACAAAACUGUGGCGGCUUCUCUCUUCCUUUGAUCGUCUUCCUCUUCUUCUCCGAUCAAUCACCGGUGACUUAAACCCUCUUUCGAUUUCGUUCUCUUUGUCUGACGUGAAUCUCCGUUCGUCCGCUUCUUUCUUCACAACAAAUCUAUCACAAUUAUCAUCUUCAGGGUGUGUUCUUAGGAGAAUUGUUUUUAGUGCUAUGGAAACUGAUGAAUGAGGUUUCUGGAUUACUACUUUUAGGUUUGUGUUUAUGAUUUUGAUGAAGAUGAUGGUUGUUCUGAGUAGCUGGAUUUUCAGUUAUCAUGUUUUUGUUAGUUUCUUGUUGCUGAUUAGUUCUGGUAUAAGCUAUGGGACUGAAACUGAUAUCUUCUGUUUGAAAGCUAUAAAAAAUUCUAUCAAAGAUCCGAAUAAUUCUGUUGUGAUGGAGUGUUUUGUUAUGCAGAUUAAACGAAGAAUUCUUUUCGGAAUUAAAAUCUGAGUUAGGGCAGAUUCUAUUUGCGGUUAACAAAACCCCGGUUGGUUGGUUUCUGAUUUGUGUUUUGUUGGUUAUAUUUUCUGUUGAACAUAUUGUUUUAGUGUUUGGCCUUUUUUGAUGGUUUUUUCAGGCUAUGGAGGAUAGAUUGGCCUUUUCUGAGUGAAUGUGAUAUUUGCGGUUAACACUAAUUACGUUUUUCUAUUGUUGAGCUUCAAACAGUGGAUGGAUUGGUAAAGGAUAGAACACAAUGUGCCCCUUCCGAUUAUGUUCCACAGAAUAUGAAUCAAGUAAUGUACCCCGAAGUCGUCUUCUGUGGCAGGAUCGUUCGGGGUACAGUUAUUUGAUUCAUAUUCUGUGACACAAUACAACAUAGCUUAGGUGACUACUGGUUCUCCACUAAAGCAUCAAUACAACAUAGCUCCAGAUAAUACAGGAAGCGUACAUUGGUUGCAUAAGAACUCGGAAGUUGUUUCCCAUUUAGUUGUUUUGGUUUAGAAAUAUGUGAAUUGGUUUAGUUGUUUUGGUUUAGAAAUAUGUAUAUAUGUAUUUUGAUUUACAUUAAUGGUAUAUAAUAUAAUACUUUUUUUGUAUAUAAUCGAUAUCGAUUAUAAUGGUAUAUAUCGAUUUGAAAUGAUAAAUUAUAGGUUCAUGAAAAAAUACUGCCAAAAAAUAGUAAAUU